rnacentral:lncRNA from 1 species
CGGCGGGCGGCGGCUACCUACUUGGUGGCCAACCGGCGAGGUGCUCCGGAGGACACUCCAUCGGCAGCAACGGCGAGGGUUUCGGAGGACACCCGGCCACAUCGCCACCUUCGUCCAGCUGGGUUUCUCUCCCUCGUGAGCACAGUGAGGAAAUGCGGACACCCAACGCAUUUUUUUGGACUUGGCACUAACAGUGAUGAAGAUAUUGAGAUGGGUGAUGGUGAUAGUGACUCUGAACAAGUUGGUCCUGUAGAUGAGCAUUGCUGUUGA